AUCGAACGCUGGCGGCAGGCUUAACACAUGCACGUCGAACGAGUGGCGGACGGGUGAGUAAUGCUUGGGAAUCUAGCUUAUGGAGGGGGUUAACUACGGGAAACUGUAGCUAAUCCCGCGUACCCUAGGAUGAGCCCAAGUGGGAUUAGGUAGUUGGUGAGGUAAAGGCUAACAAAGCCGACGAUCUCUAGCGGGUCUGAGAGGAUGACCAGCCACACGGGGACUGAGACACGGCCAAGACUCCGACGGGAGGAAGCAGGGGGGAAUAUUGCGAAAGGGGGGCAACCUGACGAAGCCAGGCCGCGUGAAGGAAGAAGGCCUUCGGGUUGUAAAGUUCGUUCGGUAGCGAGGCGUUAACUACAGAAGAAGCACCGGCUAACUCCGUGCCAGCAGCCGCGGUAAUUC
rnacentral:rRNA from 1 species